rnacentral:rRNA from 1 species
CCUANGGGCGGCAGCAGCUACGAAAACUGCCCAAUGUGGGAAACCACGAGGCGGGCAUUCCGAGUGCCAACGCAUUGCGUUGGCUGUUCUUUCGCCUAAAAAGCGAGAGAAGUAAGGGCCGGGUAAGACGGGUGCCAGCCGCCGCGGUAAUACACGCGGCCCGAGUGGUGCUCUUUGUUAUUGAGCUUAAAGCGUCCGUAGCCGGCCUUGUAAAUCCUUGGGUAAAUCGGGCAGCUCAACUGUUCGAAUUCCGAGGAGACUGCAAGGCUCGGGACCGGGAGAGGCUAGAGGUACUCUCGGGGUAGGGGUAAAAUCCUGUAAUCCUGAGAGGACCACCAGUGGCGAAGGCGUCUAGCUAGAACGGAUCCGACGGUGAGGGACGAAGCCCUGGGGCGCAAACGGGAUUAGAUACCCCANUANUC